ncrna:unclassified sequences 6A RNA
AAAAUUGGUCGUAAGGCGCGACCAACGGAAUCAAAAGAAAGCCUACCGAGA